GAUUAAGUUAUUAAGGGCGCACGGUGGAUGCCUUGGCACUAGAAGCCGAUGAAGGACGUUACUAACGACGAUAUGCUUUGGGGAGCUGUAAGUAAGCUUUGAUCCAGAGAUUUCCGAAUGGGGAAACCCAGCAUGAGUUAUGUCAUGUUAUCGAUAUGUGAAUACAUAGCAUAUCAGAAGGCACACCCGGAGAACUGAAACAUCUUAGUACCCGGAGGAAGAGAAAGAAAAUUCGAUUCCCUUAGUAGCGGCGAGCGAAACGGGAAGAGCCCAAACCAACAAGCUUGCUUGUUGGGGUUGUAGGACACUCUAUACGGAGUUACAAAGGACGACAUUAGACGAAUCAUCUGGAAAGAUGAAUCAAAGAAGGUAAUAAUCCUGUAGUCGAAAAUGUUGUCUCUCUUGAGUGGAUCCUGAGUACGACGGAGCACGUGAAAUUCCGUCGGAAUCUGGGAGGACCAUCUCCUAAGGCUAAAUACUCUCUAGUGACCGAUAGUGAACCAGUACCGUGAGGGAAAGGUGAAAAGCACCCCGGAAGGGGAGUGAAAUAGAACCUGAAACCGUGUGCUUACAAGUAGUCAGAGCCCGUUAAUGGGUGAUGGCGUGCCUUUUGUAGAAUGAACCGGCGAGUUACGAUUUGAUGCAAGGUUAAGCAGUAAAUGUGGAGCCGUAGCGAAAGCGAGUCUGAAUAGGGCGUUUAGUAUUUGGUCGUAGACCCGAAACCAGGUGAUCUACCCUUGGUCAGGUUGAAGUUCAGGUAACACUGAAUGGAGGACCGAACCGACUUACGUUGAAAAGUGAGCGGAUGAACUGAGGGUAGCGGAGAAAUUCCAAUCGAACCUGGAGAUAGCUGGUUCUCUCCGAAAUAGCUUUAGGGCUAGCCUCAAGUGAUGAUUAUUGGAGGUAGAGCACUGUUUGGACGAGGGGCCCCUCUCGGGUUACCGAAUUCAGACAAACUCCGAAUGCCAAUUAAUUUAACUUGGGAGUCAGAACAUGGGUGAUAAGGUCCGUGUUCGAAAGGGAAACAGCCCAGACCACCAGCUAAGGUCCCAAAAUAUAUGUUAAGUGGAAAAGGAUGUGGCGUUGCCCAGACAACUAGGAUGUUGGCUUAGAAGCAGCCAUCAUUUAAAGAGUGCGUAAUAGCUCACUAGUCGAGUGACACUGCGCCGAAAAUGUACCGGGGCUAAACAUAUUACCGAAGCUGUGGAUUGUCCUUUGGACAAUGGUAGGAGAGCGUUCUAAGGGCGUUGAAGCAUGAUCGUAAGAACAUGUGGAGCGCUUAGAAGUGAGAAUGCCGGUGUGAGUAGCGAAAGACGGGUGAGAAUCCCGUCCACCGAUUGACUAAGGUUUCCAGAGGAAGGCUCGUCCGCUCUGGGUUAGUCGGGUCCUAAGCUGAGGCCGACAGGCGUAGGCGAUGGAUAACAGGUUGAUAUUCCUGUACCACCUAUAAUCGUUUUAAUCGAUGGGGGGACGCAGUAGGAUAGGCGAAGCGUGCGAUUGGAUUGCACGUCUAAGCAGUAAGGCUGAGUAUUAGGCAAAUCCGGUACUCGUUAAGGCUGAGCUGUGAUGGGGAGAAGACAUUGUGUCUUCGAGUCGUUGAUUUCACACUGCCGAGAAAAGCCUCUAGAUAGAAAAUAGGUGCCCGUACCGCAAACCGACACAGGUAGUCAAGAUGAGAAUUCUAAGGUGAGCGAGCGAACUCUCGUUAAGGAACUCGGCAAAAUGACCCCGUAACUUCGGGAGAAGGGGUGCUCUUUAGGGUUAACGCCCAGAAGAGCCGCAGUGAAUAGGCCCAAGCGACUGUUUAUCAAAAACACAGGUCUCUGCUAAACCGUAAGGUGAUGUAUAGGGGCUGACGCCUGCCCGGUGCUGGAAGGUUAAGAGGAGUGGUUAGCUUAUGCGAAGCUACGAAUCGAAGCCCCAGUAAACGGCGGCCGUAACUAUAACGGUCCUAAGGUAGCGAAAUUCCUUGUCGGGUAAGUUCCGACCCGCACGAAAGGCGUAACGAUUUGGGCACUGUCUCAACGAGAGACUCGGUGAAAUCAUAGUACCUGUGAAGAUGCAGGUUACCCGCGACAGGACGGAAAGACCCCGUGGAGCUUUACUGUAGCCUGAUAUUGAAAUUCGGCACAGCUUGUACAGGAUAGGUAGGAGCCUUUGAAACGUGAGCGCUAGCUUACGUGGAGGCGCUGGUGGGAUACUACCCUAGCUGUGUUGGCUUUCUAACCCGCACCACUUAUCGUGGUGGGAGACAGUGUCAGGCGGGCAGUUUGACUGGGGCGGUCGCCUCCUAAAAGGUAACGGAGGCGCUCAAAGGUUCCCUCAGAAUGGUUGGAAAUCAUUCAUAGAGUGUAAAGGCAUAAGGGAGCUUGACUGCGAGACCUACAAGUCGAGCAGGGUCGAAAGACGGACUUAGUGAUCCGGUGGUUCCGCAUGGAAGGGCCAUCGCUCAACGGAUAAAAGCUACCCCGGGGAUAACAGGCUUAUCUCCCCCAAGAGUUCACAUCGACGGGGAGGUUUGGCACCUCGAUGUCGGCUCAUCGCAUCCUGGGGCUGUAGUCGGUCCCAAGGGUUGGGCUGUUCGCCCAUUAAAGCGGUACGCGAGCUGGGUUCAGAACGUCGUGAGACAGUUCGGUCCCUAUCCGUCGUGGGCGUAGGAAAUUUGAGAGGAGCUGUCCUUAGUACGAGAGGACCGGGAUGGACAUACCUCUGGUGUACCAGUUGUCGUGCCAACGGCAUAGCUGGGUAGCUAUGUGUGGACGGGAUAAGUGCUGAAAGCAUCUAAGCAUGAAGCCCCCCUCAAGAUGAGAUUUCCCAACUUCGGUUAUAAGAUC
rnacentral:rRNA from 1 species